AUUUUUCUCUAGUGAACUGCACUACUAUGAACGUUCUUGUAUAUGUGUCCUGCUAUACAAGUGUCAAAGUUUCUUUUGAUAUAGGAAACUGCUGCUAUAUCGUCACAUUGCUGGAUCAUAAAGCAUGUGAAUGCUCAACUUUAAAAGAUUUCCCCGGUCUGGACUUUCACACAAAUGGGAUUAGAUAAUACGUGGACUUUUAUGUUUGGCUUCUUAAUGGAUUUUCAGAGUUCAUGAUUAUUUAGUGUAUUGGUCCAUCUUAUGUUGCUAUAAAGAGAUACUUGAGGCUGGGUAAUUUAUAAAGAAAAGAGGUUUAAUUGGCUCAAGGUUCUGCAGGCUGAACAUAAAGGAAGCAUAGUGCCAGCAUCUGCUUCUGG
rnacentral:lncRNA from 10 species